ACGUAGGGGGCAAGCGUUGUCCGGAUUUAUUGGGCGUAAAGAGCGUGUAGGCGGCCAGACAGGUCCGCUGUGAAAACUCGAGGCUCAACCUCGAGCUGUCGGUGGAAACCGUCUGGCUAGAGUCCGGAAGAGGAGAGUGGAAUUCCCGGUGUAGCGGUGAAAUGCGCAGAUAUCGGGAAGAACACCCGUGGCGAAGGCGGCUCUCUGGGACGGUACUGACGCUGAGACGCGAAAGCGUGGGGAGCGAACAGGA
rnacentral:rRNA from 1 species